UACGAAGGGGGCUAGCGUUGCUCGGAAUUACUGGGCGUAAAGAGCGCGCAGGCGGUCGUGCAAGUCGCGUGUGAAAGCCCCCGGCUCAACUGGGGAGGGUCACGCGAUACUGCUCGACUUGAAGGCAGGAGAGGGAAGCGGAAUUCCCGGUGUAGUGGUGAAAUGCGUAGAUAUCGGGAGGAACACCAGUGGCGAAGGCGGCUUCCUGGCCUGUUCUUGACGCUGAGGCGCGAAAGCUAGGGUAGCAAACGGG
rnacentral:rRNA from 1 species